UACGUAGGGUGCAAGCGUUGUCCGGAAUUAUUGGGCGUAAAGAGCUCGUAGGCGGUUUGUCGCGUCUGCUGUGAAAUCUGGGGGCUCAACCCCCAGCCUGCAGUGGGUACGGGCAGACUAGAGUGCGGUAGGGGGGAUUGGAAUUCCUGGUGUAGCGGUGGAAUGCGCAGAUAUCAGGAGGAACACCGAUGGCGAAGGCAGAUCUCUGGGCCGUAACUGACGCUGAGGAGCGAAAGCAUGGGGAGCGAACAGG
rnacentral:rRNA from 1 species